AUUGAACGCUGGCGGCGGGCCUAACACAUGCAAGUCGAGCGGAUGAAGGGAGCUUGCUCCUGGAUUCAGCGGCGGACGGGUGAGUAAUGCCUAGGAAUCUGCCUGGUAGUGGGGGAUAACGUCCGGAAACGGGCGCUAAUACCGCAUACGUCCUGAGGGAGAAAGUGGGGGAUCUUCGGACCUCACGCUAUCAGAUGAGCCUAGGUCGGAUUAGCUAGUUGGUGGGGUAAAGGCCUACCAAGGCGACGAUCCGUAACUGGUCUGAGAGGAUGAUCAGUCACACUGGAACUGAGACACGGUCCAGACUCCUACGGGAGGCAGCAGUGGGGAAUAUUGGACAAUGGGCGAAAGCCUGAUCCAGCCAUGCCGCGUGUGUGAAGAAGGUCUUCGGAUUGUAAAGCACUUUAAGUAGGGAGGAAGGGCAGUAAGUUAAUACCUUGCUGUUUUGACGUUACCAACAGAAUAAGCACCGGCUAACUUCGUG
rnacentral:rRNA from 1 species